AUUGAACGCUGGCGGCGGGCUUAACACAUGCAAGUCGAGCGGAGCGAGGGUGCUUGCACCUUAGCUUAGCGGCGGACGGGUGAGUAAUGCUUAGGAAUCUGCCUAUUAGUGGGGGACAACAUUCCGAAAGGAAUGCUAAUACCGCAUACGCCCUACGGGGGAAAGCAGGGGAUCUUCGGACCUUGCGCUAAUAGAUGAGCCUAAGUCGGAUUAGCUAGUUGGUGGGGUAAAGGCCUACCAAGGCGACGAUCUGUAGCGGGUCUGAGAGGAUGAGCCGCCACACUGGGACUGAGACACGGCCCAGACGCCUACGGGAGGCAGCAGUGGGGAAUAUUGGACAAUGGGCGGAAGCCUGAUCCAGCCAUGCCGCGUGUGUGAAGAAGGCCUUUUGGUUGUAAAGCACUUUAAGCGAGGAGGAGGCUACUUAGAUUAAUACUCUAGGAUAGUGGACGUUACUCGCAGAAUAAGCACCGGCUAACUCUGUGCCAGCAGCCGCGGUAA
rnacentral:rRNA from 1 species